UCCGAGUUAACCCCGGCGGUCCCCCGUGAGUUCCCGGCACAAUCCGCUGGCAACACGGGGCGAGGGUUGCGCUCGUUGCGGGACUUAACCCAACAUCUCACGACACGAGCUGACGACGACCAUGCACCACCUGUGAACCCGCCCCGAAGGGAAACCCCAUCUCUGGGAUCGUCGGGAACAUGUCAAGCCCAGGUAAGGUUCUUCGCGUUGCAUCGAAUUAAUCCGCAUGCUCCGCCGCUUGUGCGGGCCCCCGUCAAUUUCUUUGAGUUUUAGCCUUGCGGCCGUACUCCCCAGGCGGGAUGCUUAACGCGUUAGCUCCGACACGGAACCCGUGGAACGGGCCCCACAUCCAGCAUCCACCGUUUACGGCGUGGACUAC
rnacentral:misc_RNA from 1 species